ACUCAAAUGAAUUGACGGGGGCUCACACAAGCGGUGGAGCAUGUGGCUUAAUUCGAGGCUACGCGCAAAACCUUAUCCCGGGCUUGACAUGCACGGAUUAACCGGCGGAAACGUCGGCGACGCCGCAAGGUGGAACGUGCACAGGUGCUGCAUGGCUGUCGUCAGCUCGUGUCGCGAGAUGUUGGGUUCAGUCCCGUAACGAGCGAAACCCCUGUGACUAGUUGCCAGCGGGAAAGCCGGGCACUCUAGUCAGACCGCCGGCGUCAAGCCGGAGGAAGGCGGGGAUGACGUCAAGUCCUCAUGGCCCUUAUGCCCGGGGCUGCACACGUGCUACAAUGGGCCGGACAAAGCGUUGCAAUGCCGCAAGGCCGAGCCAAUCGCAAAAACCGGUCCCCAGUUCGGAUUGCGGGCUGCAACCCGCCCGCAUGAAGCCGGAAUCGCUAGUAAUCGCGGAUCAGCACUGCCGCGGUGAAUGGGUUCCUGAGCCUUGCACACACCGCCCGU
rnacentral:rRNA from 1 species